ACUGUGGAGGAAGGAUUGUAAAAAAUGCC
rnacentral:piRNA from 1 species